ACGGGAGGCAGCAGUGGGGAAUUUUGCGCAAUGGGCGAAAGCCUGACGCAGCAACGCCGCGUGCGGGAUGGAGGCCCUCGGGUUGUAAACCGCUUUCAGCAGGGAAGAUCGUGACGGUACCUGCAGAAGAAGCCCCGGCUAACUACGUGCCAGCAGCCGCGGUAAUACGUAGGGGGCGAGCGUUAUCCGGAUUCAUUGGGCGUAAAGCGCGCGUAGGCGGCUCCCUAAGCGGGACCUCUAAUCCAGGGGCUCAACCUCUGGCCGGGUCCCGAACUGGGGGGCUCGGGUUCGGUAGGGGAAGACGGAAUUCCCGGUGUAGCGGUGGAAUGCGCAGAUAUCGGGAGGAACACCGAUGGCGAAGGCAGUCUUCUGGGCCGCGACCGACGCUGAGGCGCGAAAGCUGGGGGAGCGAACAGGAUUAGAUACCCUGGUA
rnacentral:rRNA from 2 species